UGGACCUAGAGAGAGAGAGAGAGUGUGUGUGUGUGAGAGAGAGAGAGAGAGAGAGAGGAGAUAAAGCAGCUAUGGCAAUCCUAACAAUGAUAUCUCCACCUCCAUUGCUCUCUCCUCCUCCUUCUUCUUCUUCUUCUUCUUCUUCCACCUCCAUUUUUCCAUCAUCGUCGUCAUCAUUCAAGCCCAUUUUCGCUUCCCACUGUCUCAGCCGUCCGAUCUCCAUCGCCUCUCACCUCUGCGCACCCAAGACCCCAACGAGGCUCGACAAAUCAGCUCUCACUGUCGCCGAAGCGGCCUCCGAUGACGAGCUCUGGGCCACAUCUUGUCUUCGCAUUCGAUCCUUCUACGAUUUCCACCAAUCCUCUUUCGGCAUCGAAGAUCAUAAGAGGUGCUUGGCCGAGCGUGAGUUUGAAGCGUUAAAGGAACGUGUUGCUGGGAAGAGGACAGGCUUUAGAAGAGUUUCCUGCAUAAAUGCCACACUUCCAUUAUCACAUUUAUUAAGCAUUUCAGAUGAUUUAUGCACUGCAUGCAAGUUUGCAGAGAAUGGAGAAGAUCGGGUAGUGGUGGGGACCCUUGAUCUUAAUCAGUGUCUGAGGCUUCCAGAUGAAAUAACUGGAAUGAAGCCACAGGGGAUUGGUGCUGAUUUUGCAAGAGCAUAUCUAAGCAAUGUAUGUGUUGCCAAGGAACUGCAAAGAAAUGGAUUGGCUCAUGCUCUAAUUGUGAAAUCAAAGAUGAUUGCUGAAGAUUGGGGAAUAUCUGAUUUAUAUGUCCAUGUCACCAUUGACAAUGAACCAGCAAAAAAAUUGUACAUGAAAAGUGGUUUUGUUUAUGAAAAUGAUGAACCUGCAUGGCAAGCCAGGUUUCUGGAUCGGCCACGGAGGAUUCUUUUAUGGACCGAGAUCCCUAACACCCUUGACUUGUAAUAUUACAAUAUCAAGUAGUCACAAUAUGUCUUACUUUGUAAAUUCUUGACGGUUUAGUCUUCCAUACAUACAUGUCCCUGUUUCAUGUGAAAUAUUUGGUAGAAUAUUUGAUAAAAUAUUUAGAGUCGCUAGUAUUACUCUGAUAUCAAUUUGUUGGGUUGCAAGGAAUAGCCAAAACUUUGCAAGCUGUAUGGGGAGGAAACAUAUAGUGAAAAAACCUUAUUGCAUUCCCAAUGUGGGCCGGAUGUGGAUUUGUAAUAAGAAACGUAAUUUGAAGA